UGUAAUCCUGCGGAUGCCAGACUAAACCAACGAUUCAAAGUGUCUACCCAGUGAAUGAAUUUGUUUGUAUCAGCCCGGAGGCUACAUAACUUUCUCCCACUUUUUUUUUAAACAAAUGUCCACUUUCAUACAACUUAACACAUUAGAAUGCUGGAGGAAGUGGACCACAUGCCCCGAAAAUGUAAUGAAAUCAAUAUCGACGUGUAAUUAAUCACGCAAGGAGUAGUAAGAGAGCAAGUCAUAGCAAAAGAGAUGUUUUUGCAACAAAUGAAUCUGUCCAGAUGGUGUCACCAUUGAAGAAAUGUACAAAAACUGCAGUAAAGACACUUAAAACGACUGGGCCUUGGGAAGACACCACUGAAGGACUGUACGAAAACGCCAUUAAAGCUGGUUCUACUUCUUGAAGAAGCUUGGUGAGGACACAAAUAUGUAUAUAGUGGAAGUAUUUAUAUUACUCUAGUUUAUUUGGCAUUAAAGGGUGUGUUAAUUGACGCAGUGUGACGUCAGCUGGUGAUGAGAAGGACGCCAUGUUGAAAGUGGCAGUA